CCUACGGGAGGCAGCAGUGAGGAAUAUUGGUCAAUGGACGAGAGUCUGAACCAGCCAAGUAGCGUGAAGGAUGACUGCCCUAUGGGUUGUAAACUUCUUUUAUAAAGGAAUAAAACGAGGCACGUGUGCCUUUUUGCAUGUACUUUAUGAAUAAGGAUCGGCUAACUCCGUGCCAGCAGCCGCGGUAAUACGGAGGAUACGAGCGUUAUCCGGAUUUAUUGGGUUUAAAGGGAGCGUAGAUGGGUUGUUAAGUCAGUUGUGAAAGUUUGCGGCUCAACCGUGAAAUUGCAAUUGAUACUGGCAGUCUUGAGUACAGUUGAGGUAGGCGGAAUUCGUGGUGUAGCAGUGAAAUGCUUAGAUAUCACGAAGAACCCCGAUUGCGAAGGCAGCUUACUAAACUGUGACUGACAUUGAUGCUCGAAAGUGUGGGUAUCAAACAGGAUUAGAUACCCCGGUAGUC
rnacentral:rRNA from 1 species